UGGAGUAUGUGGUUUAAUUCGAUGCAACGCGAAGAACCUUACCUGGUCUUGACAUCCCGGAGACCCUUAGGAAACUAGGGGGUGCUUCCAUCUGGAAGAAUCUGGAGACAGGUGCUGCAUGGCUGUCGUCAGCUCGUGUCGUGAGAUGUUGGGUUAAGUCCCGCAACGAGCGCAACCCUUGUGUUUAGUUGCAAACAGGUCAAGCUGUGCACUCUAGACAGACUGCCGUGGACAACACGGAGGAAGGUGGGGAUGACGUCAAAUCAUCAUGCCCCUUAUGAUCUGGGCUACACACGUGCUACAAUGGCCGGUACAACGGGCAGCGAAGGAGCGAUCCGGAGCGAAUCCUAAAAAGCCGGUCCCAGUUCGGAUUGCAGGCUGAAACUCGCCUACAUGAAGUUGGAGUUGCUAGUAAUCGCGAAUCAGAAUGUCGCGGUGAAUGCGUUCCCGGGUCUU
rnacentral:rRNA from 1 species